rnacentral:lncRNA from 1 species
GGAUUGAUAGCUUGUAUCGAUCUUGAUGAAAGAGCAAUUGAUGCUCUCAGGGAAUUUAAUAAAGAAGGAGCUCUGUCUGUACUACAGCAGUUCAAGGAAAGUGACUUAUCACAUGUUCAGAACAAAAGUGCAUUUUUAUGUGGAGUUAUGAAGACCUACAGGCAGAGAGAGAAACAGGGGAGCUAGGUGCAAGAGUCCACAAAGGGACCUGAUGAAGUGAAGAUCAAGGCCUUGCUUGAGAGAAAUGAUUAUACUCUGAAUGUAACCACAGGACAGAGGAAGUAUGGUGGGCCUCCACCAAACAGUGUGUACUCUGGUGUGCAACCUAGAAUUGGAACAGAGGUGUUUGUAGGUAAAAUACCAAGAGAUGUAUAUGAGGAUGAGUUGGUGCCCCUUUUUGAGAAGGCCAGUCCCAUUUGGGAUCUACGUCUUAUCAUAGAUCCACUGUCUGGUCAGAAUAGAGGGUAGGCAUUUACCACUUUCUGUGGAAAGGAAGCUGCACAGGAAGCUGUGAAACUGUGACAGCUAUGAAAUUCGCCCUGGUAAACAACAUGGAGUGCGCAUUUCUGUGGCAAACAACAGACUUUUGUUGGAUCCAUUCUGAAGAAUAAGACUAAAGAAAACACUCUGGAAGAAUUCAGUAAAGUCACAGAGGGUUUGGUGGACGUCAUUCUCUAUGAUCAACCUGAUGACAAAAAGAAGAAAUGGGGGUUCUGCUUCCUUAAAUGUGAGGAUCACAAGUCAGCAGUACAAGCCAGAUGCUGGAAAAGUAAAAGUAUGGGGAAAUGUAGUUACAGUUGAAUGGGCUGACCCUGUGAAGAACCAUAUCCAGAAGUCAUGGCUAAGGUAAAAGUAUUCUUUGUGAGAAACUUGGGCACAGACGAAAUAUUGGAAAAGUCAUUUUCUGAAUUUGGAGAACUCCAAAGAGUAAAUAAGUUGAAAGAUUAUGCAUUUGUUCAUUCUGAAGACAGACGAGCAGCUGUUAUGGCUAUGGAUGAAAUGAAUGGCAAAGAAACAGAAGGGGAAGAACUUGAAAUAGUCUUAGCCAAGGCACCAGACAAGAAAAGGAAAGAGCGCCAAGCUGCUAGACAGGCCUCCAGAAGCACUGCAUAUGAAGAUUAUCACUACACCCUCCUCCUCGCAUGCCGCUUCCGAUUAGAGGUUGGGGGAGAGGUGGAUAUGGCUAACCUCCAGAUUACUAUGGCAUGAAGAUUACUACAGUUAUGAUUACCACAUCUAUCAAGGAGGUUACGAAGAUUCCCUACUAUGGCUAUGAUGGUGGCUAUGCAGUAAGAGGAAGAGGAGGAAGGGGAGGGCAGGGUGCUUCACCACCACCAAGGGGGAGGGGAGCACCACCUCCAAGAGGUAGAGCUGGCUAUUCACAAAAGGGGGCACCUUUGGGACCACCACGAGGCUGUAGGGGUGGCAGAGGGGGUCCUGCACAACAGCAGAGAGGCCGUGGCCGUGGUUCCCGUGGAUCUCAGGGCAAUCAGGGGACAAUGUAGGACGCAAGAGAAGGCAGAUGCUUACAACCAACCUGAUUCCAAGCAUCGUCAGACCAACAAACAACAGAACUGGGUCUCUCAACCCAUCGCUCAGCAGCCGCUUCAGCAAGGUGGUGACUAUUCUGGUAACUAUGGUUACAAUAAUGACAACCAGGAAUUUUAUCAGGAUACUUAUGGGCAACAGUGGAAG